GGUGGGUUGGCCGAGAGGCGAGGCAACGGCCUGCAAAGCCGUGUACACCGGUUCGAAUCCGGUACUCACCU
rnacentral:tRNA from 1 species